AUGGCCCCUCCACACUUGGGGGUUGACAUUCACAUGUGUAAAUUUAAUGACAAGGGUGUCUCUGUGUUUGCAGGUGUCCAGUGUGAGGAGCAGCUGGUGGAGUCUGGGGGAGGCUUGGUCCAGCCUGGGGGGUCUCUGAGACUCUCCUGUGCGGCCUCUGGAUUCACCUUCAGUGACUACUACAUGCACUGGGCCCGCCAGGCUCCGGGGAAGGGGCUGGAGUGGGUAGGUUUAAUUAGAACCAAAGCCAAUGGUGGGACAGCAGAAUACGCCGCGUCUGUGAAAGGCCGAUUCACCAUCUCAAGAGAUGAUUCCAAGAACUCGCUGUAUCUGCAAAUGAGCAGCCUGAGAGCCGAGGACACGGCCGUGUAUUACUGUGGGAGACACAGUGAGGGGAGGCCCGUGUGAACCCGGACACAAACCUCCUGCAGGGGCGCGCGGGGCCACUGAGGACGGGACAUGCCCCGGGAGCAGGUGCAGGGGGAGGGUCCUCUUUCUCAGAGGCAAGAAGCGGAUUUCUUUUUGCAGGACUCUGGAGUCCUAUAAGUUUACAGUAUUUUAUUAUUUUUAGUUAUAAUAUAUUUAUAAUAUACAUAUAUAAUAUU